GCGCCGCUAGUGCAAUGGUCAGCACGCGCUCACGGAAAGGGUGGAAUGCGGGUUCGAAUCCCGCUCGGCCUUCACA